rnacentral:rRNA from 1 species
UACGAAGGGGGCUAGCGUUGCUCGGAAUCACUGGGCGUAAAGCGCACGUAGGCGGAUGUGUCAGUCAGGGGUGAAAUCCCGGAGCUCAACUUCGGAACUGCCCUUGAUACAGCACGUCUUGAGUCCGGAAGAGGUGGGUGGAAUUCCUAGUGUAGAGGUGAAAUUCGUAGAUAUUAGGAAGAACACCGGUGGCGAAGGCGGCCCACUGGUCCGGUACUGACGCUGAGGUGCGAAAGCGUGGG